rnacentral:rRNA from 1 species
GACAGAGGUGCCGAGCGUUAGGCGGAAUCACUGGGCUUAAAGCGCGUGUAGGCGGACCGUUAAGUGCCCGUGUGAAAUCCCCCGGCUCAACCGGGGAACGGCCGGGCAUACUGGCGGUCUUGGGCCACCCAGGGGUCACCGGAACAGGCGGUGGAGCGGUGAAAUGCGUAGAUAUCGGAAGGAACAUCAGUGGCGAAAGCGACUUCCUGGACCAAUACUGACGCUCAUGUGCGAAAGCGUGGGAGCAAACAGG